rnacentral:rRNA from 1 species
AUUGAACGCUGGCGGCAGGCCUAACACAUGCAAGUCGAACGGUAACAGGAAGAAGCUUGCUUCUUUGCUGACGAGUGGCGGACGGGUGAGUAAUGUCUGGGAAACUGCCUGAUGGAGGGGGAUAACUACUGGAAACGGUAGCUAAUACCGCAUAAUGUCGCAAGACCAAAGAGGGGGACCUUCGGGCCUCUUGCCAUCGGAUGUGCCCAGAUGGGAUUAGCUAGUAGGUGGGGUAACGGCUCACCUAGGCGACGAUCCCUAGCUGGUCUGAGAGGAUGACCAGCCACACUGGAACUGAGACACGGUCCAGACUCCUACGGGAGGCAGCAGUGGGGAAUAUUGCACAAUGGGCGCAAGCCUGAUGCAGCUAUGCCGCGUGUAUGAAGAAGGCCUUCGGGUUGUAAAGUACUUUCAGCGGGGAGGAAGGGAGUAAAGUUAAUACCUUUGCUCAUGGACGUUACCCGCAGAAGAAGCACCGGCUAACUCCGU